AACGAACGCUGGCGGCAUGCCUAACACAUGCAAGUCGAACGAGAUCUUCGGGUCUAGUGGCGCACGGGUGCGUAACGCGUGGGAAUCUGCCCUUUGGUUCGGAAUAACAGUUGGAAACGACUGCUAAUACUGGAUGAUGACGAAAGUCCAAAGAUUUAUCGCCAGAGGAUGAGCCCGCGUAGGAUUAGCUAGUUGGUGUGGUGAAGGCGCACCAAGGCGACGAUCCUUAGCUGGUCUGAGAGGAUGAUCAGCCACACUGGGACUGAGACACGGCCCAGACUCCUACGGGAGGCAGCAGUGGGGAAUAUUGGACAAUGGGCGAAAGCCUGAUCCAGCAAUGCCGCGUGAGUGAUGAAGGCCUUAGGGUUGUAAAGCUCUUUUACCCGGGAUGAUAAUGACAGUACCGGGAGAAUAAGCUCCGGCUAACUCCGUGCCAGCCGCCGCGGUAA
rnacentral:rRNA from 1 species